rnacentral:misc_RNA from 1 species
GGGGAGGAGCAAAAUAAAUAUUGGAAAGAAGUAAAAUCAGAUCUUGACAAAAAUAUAGAGGCUAAAAUUAAAAUAUAAAACAUUAAGAUAUCAAAAUUACAGAAUAUAAAAAUUAUGAAUAAAAUUUACAUAAAGUGUAAAGAUUGGAAAAAAAAUAUGAAAAUAUUAGAGGGAUAAACAGUUAAAAAAAAAAACCACUAAAAUUUCUACAUAAAAUUUUAAUUUUAAAAUUUGGGGGUGAGGGGGGACAGUAAUUUUUUCAAAAAAUAUAUGAGAGUUU